GGAGGCUACAGCUCAGUGGUAGAGCGCAUGCUUAGCAUGCACAAGGUCCUGGGUUCAAUCCCCAGUGCCUCCA
rnacentral:tRNA from 1 species